GUGCAAGGGUAGGUUUCAUUCUAACCAAUACCUCUUAUUUGUCUCUUUGCCGUGUGAUUUCUUUCUUUUUGCAGAUCAGAGUUGUUCUCCAUGAUGAUUUCCCGUCCAAGAAUUCUGUCUUCGGUACCGGUUGCGUCGCUCCUUGAUCUUCUUUUGAUAUAAGAUUUUGUACGAUGAGCGGAUUAACGUAAUCGGAUCUAAGAUCUAAAGUUCUCCGGUUUGCAGAGGCUUAAAGGCCUUAUGCAGGAAAAGAUUGAGAUGGAGAAAGAUUAUAUCUAAAUAGGGAAGAGUUUUGGUCGAGGUUCGUGGUAAGAAUGAUGUUGGGAAAAAGCGUGUGGGCUGGAGCUUUGUUUUGAAAGGAUGUGUAAGAUGUCAGGGCAAAAGCCUUACUAUUUAUUUAUGGAAGGGGGCUGAGUCCUGAUCUAUCUUUGUCAUCCCCGACCUUUGCCAUGACAGGUGCGCUUGCAUGGCAGGUCACCCGAACUUAAUAAAAAAUUCAAUUUUUUGGUGUUUUGAGGGGAGAUCGCACGGGGGUUGCCCGGGUUCUCCCCUCUGCUGUGGUGUGGUGUGUCGUGCUUUUACUCUUUUCUCCCCUACCCUUCUCCCCUUUCGCUUUUCAUUAUUUACUCUGCCGUUAGUCCCCUCUGAUACUCUUACACCAUACGAGAUGGAUGCAUGAUCCACAUCAAUCAUCAUCAUCAACAUCGGAAUAAGCUCAUGAUCUCCAAGCUAUUGAUCUCUACUAGCAAAUCGCAAAUCGCAAGGCCAAGGUAUUCUUUACAUAUUUUAAACCAAAAUUCGCCUUAUCUAAAUUUGCUUUAAAAUUCAAGUUUUUGCUAGUUAUUAUGCAAGUAGAGUUAACCACUAAUUUUGAACAUGGCACAAUCACCAGUAGGCUUUAACAUAUUUUGAGAUUUUCAUUAUCAUUGAAGAUUGUAGAAUAAAUUUAUAAUUGGUCAAAUAUUUAGCUCUGAUCCUAAAAAGAGCCUUUUAACAUGAUUUUGAUUUUGUCACCUUUUUUAUUAAACUUUUAAAAUAUUAUGAUUCAAUCUCUUUUUCAAAAGUUAAGCAAUACUGUUAUAUUUAACUCUUAUAGUACUAAUAUCUUAAUUUUGAAAACAAAAUUUAUCUUUUAAGAAAUUAACUUAAAAAAUAAAUUAAUAACCAGUAUCUUCGGAAGCAAAUUGAAACUAUUAUGUUGAUAUAUUAGUUUAUUAAAUUUUCAUUAUAUUGUCAACAUUAAUCAAGUUGUGGUCUAUCAAGGAGAAUUGAACUUAAGAAAUUGGUUUUCAGUAAAAAAUAAGUGUACCAAAGUACAUGUGGUUAUCUGUUAUGCCUGCAAUGAGAAGUGAAUGAGAACAUCUGCAGUUGCAAUUGCAGAUAUAGAGCAAUAGAGCAAUAUCAUAUCUGUCAACAUUUUGCUCUCUUUACAAAGUACUGCCCAUACUGUAUUGUUUGUUAGUACUGAUCAUAUACCAUCUCAAAGCCAUCUCGGCCAACACAUUAAAGCUUUACAUCAUUCAAAGUUGCCAUGCCUCUCUAACAUUGGGUCAUUUACCAGAAUGUUUCAAUAUUGACUAUUCUAUUUUCUGGUUCAUUUCCUUCUUGAGAUUGUUGUGCCUUAAAAAAUAUGGAUGCCCUUCAAUUGCCUCAGCUAUUUUCUAUUCUAUCAUGGUUAUUUUUAUUUUCAUAUUAGUUAUGAGGCCAAAUGCAUUUUUAGUAUCUUAGUGUUGAUUUGCUAGUGGUGCAUUAUCACUGUACAAUUAUACGAGAAUGUCAUCCAUAGGUUGAGGCAGCGUGUGUAUUUUGCUUGUAUUGCUCUCUUUGUAGUUCUUUAGGCCCUUGCAUGGGCUUCUGUUUACACUUGGUUGAAGGUUGGAGUUCCUUCGCUGGCUAUUGAGGAUUUUGAUGAAAGAUGUCCCAGUGGUGAGCAUGAUGUUGGGAUAUUAGUGGAUUUACUACUAUGUCAAGCAUGUUGGCAAUUGCAUCUCUGUUCUGUGACAAACAUUUAGAGUCAAGGUGGAUGGAGUGGAGUGUUUGUCGAGCUUGGUCAACUUUCAAGAUUUUAUACCAGAAGGUAUAUGUACCUUGGAGUGAAGAAGCCAGCUUUGGAGGCUCAUGAUAAAAAAAAAAAUCUAUUGCAGCAGCAGGUCUAUUCUUUGAAGAUCUUUCCAUCACUUGCUAAUUGUUGAAGCAUUGAAGGCUUGUUAUUUGAACUCCUCUUGGUUUAUAUGGUGCAGCAGCUCUGCUUUACUGAGAUUAGUGUUGAAGAACUCCUGUUAUUUGUUGUCGGAGAUUGAUCAAAAGAGGUACAUGCCGAUUGUGUAUCCAGUUCCUUUACAUAGUGAAAAUUUUCAGUGGACUACGGUCCCGUGGUUUUUCCCCUUAAGGGGUUUUCCACGUAAAUUUUGGUGCCUUGUUUUUAUUUAUAUGUCGCGCGUUUAUGUUGGUGAUUGGUACCCUCUGCAAUUAUGUCAAAGUUGAAACAGCUCUUUGGCAGUGUUGAUAUGCCUAUGGUAGGUGGCAGUCAAGGUGAUGAAAGUUAGUAUUUACUUUCCGAAUAAAUUACUAUCUUUUACAUUUUUCAUGUGUUUAAACAAUAUCUAUUAAGUUUAUUUUUAACUUUGUAGUGUGCUUGGUGUAGAAUAUGACUCUUGCUCUUGUAUGAUUUGUUAAAUUUUAUUUAUUUUUUUCCCUUUGUUCCUCUUUUAA